UUACAUAAUAUUAGCCGAUUCUACUAACUGUCUCUAAUGCAAGUGGUAAAGAAUUUGGUGGUUGCUGAGGUCCCAAUUGAAUCUUAAUUGAUUCAUAUUUUUAGUUAAAUUUGUUUUUAAAUUAAAGAAACGAAGUGUAUAGUAUGCUACCUAUCUCUUAAAAAAAAUGUUAGCUGAUUCUAUUUUUGUCUUUUUCCCUCUCUUUUUCUUUUUUUUCUUCUGAUCUCCGCUGUGGUAGGCUCAUAAAUUUAUAGUAAAAACUCUAAAUAUGCAUACUAAUGUAUUUCAUUUUUAUUGACUGUAUCUAGUGUGAUUUACUAAAAGUUUGAUAGCUAGUAUUUAAAAUCUUUUGUUCGAAACUAGUUAUUUUAUAUUUUUUGCUAAAUUUAUUUAUUUUUUUUUAAAAUAAAGCUAAAGUAUUUGUUAAAAAACAAAGAUGAACGAAGCUCUCUCUCAAAAAAAAAAAAAAGAAAAACUUCAAAUGCCACGCCUGUGAUUUCACACUUUCUCACUUUAGUACCCUGUGGUUUAAAGUGUGUCGAUUUAGUGUCUUGUGGUUUCAUUUUUUACUUUUUAUUAUUGAUUCUACUAAUUUUUUUGUUAAAUCGGUGACAAAGUUAAAACUAAAGGGUACUAAAGUGCAUAUUCAAUAAAUCUAAGUGGGGUAUUUGAAGUCUUUUGUAUAUAAUUUAAUGAAAUAUUAACGAAAAAACUGACGAAAGAAUAAAAAUGAAAUCAAAUGACACUAACUUGACAUACUUUAAAUUACAUGAUUCUAAAGUGAGAAAGUACGAAUCUACCGGAAUGAUAUUCGAAGUUUACCAAAAAAAAAAAAGAAAGUAU
rnacentral:lncRNA from 1 species